AUCGAUGAAGAACGCAGCGAAAUGCGAUAAGUAAUGUGAAUUGCAGAAUUCAGUGAAUCAUCGAAUCUUUGAACGCACCUUGCGCUCCUUGGUAUUCCUCGGAGCAUGCCUGUUUGAGUAUCAUGAAAUUAUCAAAAUAAAUCUUUUGUUAACUCGAUUGAUUUUAUUUUGGACUUGGAGGUCUGCAGAUUCACGUCUGCUCCUCUUAAAUUCAUUAGCUGGAUCUCUGUGAACUCGGUUCCACUCGGCGUGAUAAGUAUCACUCGCUGAGGACACUCGUAAAAAAGGUGGCCGGGAUUAGCAGUUUAGAACCGCUUCUAAUAGUCCAUUGACUUGGACAAAAUUAAAUUUAUGAUCUGAUCUCAAAUCAGGUAGGACUACCCGCUGAACUUAAGCAUAUCAAUAAGCGGAGGAAAAGAAACUAACAAGGAUUCCCCUAGUAACGGCGAGUGAAGCGGGAAGAGCUCAAAUUUAAAAUCUGGCGGUUAUGCCGUCCGAGUUGUAGUCUAGAGAAGCAUCAUCUACGCUGGACCAUGUACAAGUCUCUUGGAACAGAGCGUCAUAGAGGGUGAGAAUCCCGUCCUUGACAUGGACUCCCAGUGUUCUGUGUUGUGCUCUCAACGAGUCGAGUUGUUUGGGAAUGCAGCUCAAAAUGGGUGGUAAAUUCCAUCUAAAGCUAAAUAUUGGCGAGAGACCGAUAGCGAACAAGUACCGUGAGGGAAAGAUGAAAAGCACUUUGGAGAGAGAGUUAAACAGUACGUGAAAUUGUUGAAAUGGAAACGCUUGAAGUCAGUCGCGUUCUCUGGGAUUCAGCCUUGCUUUUGCUUGGUGCAUUUCCUAGUCUACGGGCCAGCAUGGAUUUUGACCGUUGGAAAAGGGCUGGGGGAAUGUGGCACCUUCGGGUGUGUUAUAGCCCCCUGUCGCAUGCAUCGGUUGGGAUCGAGGACCUCAGUGCACGCUUCGGUUGUGCUUUGAUGCUGGCGUAAUGGCUUUAAACGACCCGUCUUGAAACACGG
rnacentral:rRNA from 1 species